UCUAUUUUCCAAUUGGAGAUUAAUAAGAAGCAAGGCAUUUCAAUGCUACUGCAGGCUGUCCUUAACCAUGUUUAUGUUGGCUGUCAGGUACAGAAUGAGCUUAACAAGCUGGGUCCAGAUUUGCCAGAAACAUUCCAGAUGUACAAAACCUAAGAAUAAAACCUAGAUCUCAUAGGUACCAAUCAAAUGCAAAACCUCAUUGCUGCACAAAAUAUAUUAAUCAGAUCAUUUAGAAACAUUUCAUCCAUAGACAGAUACUGCUGAAAUUCUACUUUACCUGUUAGGAUUUGGUCAUUAGCUGACCUCAUGAUAAAGAAAAUAAUUAUAAAGUCUAACAAUUGAUGAGUAUAUAUUUAGUCAUUUUGCCUUUAUUUACAUCAAUUUUGUUAUCUAACAAAAAACCUGGACUUGUUUUGGCUAGAAUUGUUUAACCUCAUCUUCAAAUCAGCUGUUGAACUAAGAUACCAAGAUGGCAGUCUUAAAAGGAUGCAAUAGCCACUACACAGUUUAUCAUAGGUUUAUGAAAAUUCAUCUUUCUUUUUUCACAGAAGUAUGCAAAUCAUCUGCAAUUCUGAAUUUUAUCUUGGAUCUAGACUCAUUUGUAUAUAAGCUCAUCUAUUUAUCAGUUCUCCAGAAUUCAUUGGAGUUCUUUUAUCCUUGUUUAGUCUCAUAUAUCAUUGUGUUGUCAUUGACCUAUCAUCAUGUGCCAUUCUUGUCGUGAUCAUACUUUUUUACCAUUUGUAUUUAUUAUUAUUUUUGUUGUUGACUAUAGAACUGUGCCAUCAUAAACAACAAUAACAAUAAUAAUAUAAUAUAUUACUAACUAAAAUGUGGAACACAAUAGUAUACAGUGGCAUAGUAGUUUGGUGUGACAUGAAGGAUUAUUCAUCCAAUUUAUACUGAAGAUUUGUUUUGUAUUUUUAUUGAACUCCUGACCAUGGAUUAUAUGACUAAGAUACCUAUCUAUAGGUUAUGUAACUUGACUAUCAUUGUUGUGAUUCCAGAGUUAAAUAUGGAGUUGAUAAAUGAACUACAUGUGUGAAUGACUGGCUAUUUUGUUGCCUGCUGAUGCCUGACUCUUUGCCCCAUCUAUAGACUGGAAGUCCACAGAGAGACACCCAGCAAGAUUGGCUGCUAAAGUCUGCAAGAGCAAAGCCUGUGUGUAAUUGUGGCUAGAUAGAAACUGAAAUGGCAAAAGUCCAAGAAGACAAAAGCCCAUGUAUAUAAAACUCUUUGGACAAAACUAUGAUGAUGUUUAUUAUUACUAUUAUAACAAUUGUUUUAUAACUCUGCAAUCAAUUUUUAUUUAUUUAAAUAAAAAAAAUGAAAACUUAAUUUUAUCAGAAUAACAUUUAUGCAUUUUUUAUCUAUAUACAGAUAAUGAAAUUAAAUUAUAAAGGUUGUAUACCAUGUAUAAUUUAGCUGUCGGAUGUAAUUCAACAAUAAAUAUAGUACGGUCUCAAUUAUCUGAGGUUAUGUAAAUCAAGGAAGUCCUGGC
rnacentral:lncRNA from 1 species